rnacentral:rRNA from 1 species
UACAGAGGGUGCAAGCGUUGUUCGGAAUUAUUGGGCGUAAAGGGCGCGUAGGCGGUGCGGUAAGUCUGUAGUGAAAUCUCUGGGCUCAACUCAGAGUCUGCUGCAGAAACUGCCGUGCUUGAGUGUGGGAGAGGUGAGUGGAAUUCCCGGUGUAGCGGUGAAAUGCGUAGAUAUCGGAAGGAACACCAGUGGCGAAGGCGGCUACCUGGACAGAUACUGACGCUGAGGCGCGAGAGCGUGGGGAGCAAACAGG